rnacentral:tRNA from 1 species
GCCGGUGUAGCUCAGUUGGCUAGAGCAGCUGAUUUGUAAUCAGCUGGUCGUUGGUUCGAGUCCGACUAUCGGC